GGAAAAAUAGCAUCAUCUACAUAGACAAGCAAAAUGGUGAAUGAAAAUGAAUCUUGUUUUAUGAAUAAUGAAACAUCUGAGUUGUCUUUUAGUUUUUCAUGCCAUAUUCUACUAGUACGUUUCAGUCGACUUCACAAGUUCGCAAACUUGGUUAGACUUUCACAUAUCACUAUCAUUUUAUAUCUCUGAACGUUAACUUUAUAACGCUUCAAACGGGAUGUCGCUUGGAUGCACAGUUACAAAAUUUUGAGGUAAAACGUCAAAGCAUCGCGAAACAAAUUUUUUUGCUAAAGAUACUACAACAACAAUUGAUUGUCACUGGAUGAUAACCGAUUAUCUUCAACUCCCAGGCCAAAAAAUCAUGUUUAUAAAGCAUGAAUGACAACUGAAUGACACCAGGUAGAAGUGAUUGCACAUAGCAAUUUUUUUCCACUUUUUUACACACUGUCAAUCAAUUGUACUGCUAUGUCAAUCAAUUGACUCCCUUCAGUUUUCCAAAAAUUAAACUGCAUCAAUCGAUUGUUUCCCCUGGUCAAUCAGUUAAUAUUCAUCAGUUUUCCAAAUUUUCCAGAUUUCUCUAUUACGGUGAAUUCCUCAAACCCAAACCCUCAAUCGCCAAACAAGUCCUAAUUGAUUCUAUUAAAACAUCUAAAAUCACAUUCUAACAAUGUUAAUGCACCAAACAUCAUCUAAUAUUUAUAAACUACAUCUUCUCUCAUGAAUUCAUCACUCAAAGUCAUACUCCAAAACUCCCAAUUUCUCAUCAAUUCUCAAGAAACACAACAACCACAUAUCAAUAUACACAAUUAUAAAUCAAAAUAUAGCAUAUGAAAACAAUACCAUCGUCAUAUAUUCAUCAAUAUUCAUCAAGGUAAGAACAAACCCUAUUAGAGGUUAAGGGAACCUCUCCACCCUUUCAUGAUUUAGCAUCCAUAGAUGAAUAAUUUAUCCCCCAUUACCUUAGAUUUCAGAAUUUCCAGCAAAAGCAAGGUGAAUUGGUGUUAUUCCCUCAAGCUCUAGCACUUCUCUUCAAGUUUUCUCUCCAAAACCUUAUAUAUUCCAUGUACUGAUAGAAUGAGUUAUUUCUCUCUAAUUUUAUAUUUUAUAAAUAAUUAACUAUCUCUCUCUAAUUAC
rnacentral:lncRNA from 1 species